rfam:Angiostrongylus cantonensis strain Taiwan genome assembly, scaffold: ACAC_contig0004547
GUCGGCUACGGUGACAUGACUCCUCAUACAUCGUUUGGACGACUUGUCGGCUCAUUGUGCGCCGUGAUGGGUGUCUUGACCAUCGCGCUGCCGGUGCCGGUGAAUCAAGUCAAC